GAGGCGAGGCGAGGCCUCUCGCUUCCCGCUCCGGCUGCUCCGGGCCUGCUCCUGCCUCUUUCCAGUGCCGUGGUCCCGGCUGCUCUCUUGGCUGCCCGCGGGCCAUGAAGGGAGGUGUCUGCUGUCGGCUUGGGGAGGCUUGGCUCGGUGGUCAAGAAAGUGGCUGUAUGGAGUUGCAAACAAACCGGUUUUCUCUCUGACUUUCCAGGCAAUCCAGUUUGUCGUCCUCCUUGAAGUGUACAGCUUCAGCCUGGACUUGGUUUCCUAACAGACCAGUAGUGUGCUUCACCCAGGAAGCGUAGCUAGGGCUGAAAUACAGAAGACCUUCUGAAUAUAUAAAGCCUUAAUAUCAGAGAGGCUUCCUAGCACAGAGCUGCAACCGAGUGGCUUUGAUUAAGGAAAAGUACCCAUCCUUUGAGGAACUGCAGGUAAUAAAUAUGAUUUUUAUUUUUAAAAAAAGUACAGUGUAGUUGUGUUUACAGCAGAUAAGAUUUUUUUGACAUUUACCUUCAACAAAAGCUCAAGAGCAAAAGUAUCUGUCUUGAACACAAGCAUCAUGCACAGGUCGCAGUAAUUGAUAUUUAUUGCGCUAAUGGUAAUCUGAACCAGAGAAACCAUGUUUAGCUGGCUGUGUGUUCCAGUUCUUUUGUCCAGGUUAUUCUACUGGGUAACUGAAUGCAUUAGUAUUUCCUCUGAAAAUUAAUUUUGUGGCAGAUAAAGAAAACAUGUACAUAUACAUAAAUAUCUUGUUUUCUGGCUGGGCAAGAGGCUGAAAAACCAGGGUGUGUCUGGAUAUAUUUUGUUUGGUAAUUACUAUUUUUCUCCUUUUUUAAAAUGUCUAACUCAAAUGUCAGUUCAUUCUUCUCUGUUUCCUGCCCUUACUCAGCUAGACUUCCAAACCAGGCUUAAUUAACUUUAAGACCUUUUCUGCCCACCCCUAGAGUUAGUCUUUUCCUGCAACAUUUCCAUUGUUAUAAUCUCCAUGUGUUGUGAGAUGAUACGACAUUAUUACUGCUCUUAUGAAUUUACAACAAGCUUUUCAGUGUUUUUACUUACAGCUUAGCUCUUGUCAGGAAAAUCUCUUGUUCAAAUCAAAAUAACACUAGGGAAGCACAUUUCCAGCUUACAGUACUGAUAAAGGGAAGCUGGAAGGCCUGAAAAUUCAGGCCUCAGACGCAGGGGAUCUUAAAUAGAUGAGGAAAGCUGUUGUAAAUUUUGUGACUUAUUUUAGAGCUAGACAUUUUUCUGCAUGGAUUUGAUUCCAUGUGGGAGUGACUGUGAUUUAACACAGUGUUUUGUGGUGUUUUGCUCCAGUAUCUAUGCACUGGCUUAAGCAGGUCAUUAGUCUGAUGAAUUUUACAACCCCAGCCCAGAGGCGAUGAUUGCAGCCAUAGUAGGUGCUAGUUCAACAUGUAAGAUGUGACUCCAGGAGCGACCCUGUUUCAAGGCAGGCCAUGCUUUUGUUUACAAUGUGGUAAGAAAGAAGUCUUUGUGGCAGUGAUAAAAGUGAGAGCUGGGGGCUUUCAGCUGUCUGGCCUGGGGUCGCAUCUGCUCACAGGUCUUCUUAAGCCAGCACCCAGGAUCUAGGCUGGUGGCUGCUGCUGCUGCCCUGCUGGGGCACAGCGCUGUGAGCAUUGGGGAGCAGCCUGCAUCCCCCCCAGGAGCUGAUGGCUUUAAAGUAACCUGGCUGUUUGGGAAGUUCUUAUUCACAUCAGUGCUGCACUUGUGGGUUUGCUGCCUGAAUCCGGAACACAGCUGGAGAUACUUCUUAAGCUGAGGUGGGAAUUUUUUUUCUCCUUCGUUAGUGGCUGUGUAAGUGGAACAUUUAGUUCUCUCACAGCUCAUAUUUUAAUCAUGGCCACUGAAAACUCCUUUCUUGUGCGAAUAAAGGCUUCCUCUUCAUUUAAAGAAGCCCAAGAUCAAUCCAUAUAAGGCAGGUAAUACAGCUCACAAUUUCACAGCAGGAAAAUGAUGCAAUGUAUUCCAAAGAGAAAUGUGCCCCUUUCUUCCUGUUUGAAACUUAGGUCGUCUCCAAGUGCAAUUACUGGAAGAUUCAGUAUCUAUUCUAAUCCUAAACUUUUACCAAGGCUGCUGCUGGCAAAUCUGUUGUACAAAGCAAAUGUGUUAAAUGGCGCAACAGAUGAUAGGUCUCCACACCAGUUUUGUCUUGUCCAGUUCACGUUGUUGUCCUUGUAAAAUGAACCCAUUCCAAAAAUCAUUCCUGCUUUUUCUGCUGUCUGCUUUCUGCCCUUGCUUCUUAAUUUCCGUACUGGAUACGUGCUUUAGGUGGCGUGCAUUGCUAAUCUGGGCGAUACUAAAAUGUGCAUAGUGUAGCAGUAUUUGUUUAUGUUUUAAUGACAGUCGAAAAAGCUAAAUGAACAGUUCUGAGCAAACGGACAGUAUAUACUAUUUCAUUGUAGGUUUGGGUUCCUAGUUCAGGUGGUGAAGAGUUUGAUACCUUAUUAGUAGUAUUGAUUGGUUGGUCUAAUGCUAACAUGAAUAAUCAGGUUCUCUUGCAUACAGAUCAUAUAUAUCUGAAAGACUAUGGCAAUAAAAGCCAGUGAGAUAAUACAAAUCUCUGAAUUCAGGUGUAGGAUUGGAGGUGGAGGGAGGGAGUAUCCUACAAAAAGAAUGGAGAAGCUAACCUAAAACUGUGUGCCAGUGGAAUGUUCUGCCGAUGAAGCUGAACCUACCACAGGAACAAUUCCCAUCAAUGGCAGGAUUUCCUAUCAUUUGCAUGAGAGCAACAUUAGCCCCUUAGUCUCCUCAAGUGGUAUGUUGUAAGGUAGACUUUGCACUCCUAGAGGAUUUCCAGAUCAGAAAUUCAUAUCAGAUAGCAUCAUAAAAGGAAGGGGAAAAGGAAGGCUGAUCCUACCAAAGCAUUAGAAAUGUGGACAAAGACAGGAGAAGGAAUUCAACUGUAUCCUCCAGACAUACUGUGGAAGUGGAAUUUCCCUUCACACUGUCAUACACAAUAAGGACAAGGGCAUGUGUGUGCUGCAGAUAACCCACCUUGUGCCCUGUGAACUUUGCCAGGUGUCAGGAGGACCAAUCCAGAUGUUGCUGGUGG